rnacentral:rRNA from 1 species
AACGAACGCUGGCGGCAUGCCUAACACAUGCAAGUCGAACGAGACCUUCGGGUCUAGUGGCGCACGGGUGCGUAACGCGUGGGAACCUGCCCUUAGGUUCGGAAUAACUCCCCGAAGGGGGUGCUAAUACCGGAUAAUGUCUUCGGACCAAAGAUUUAUCGCCUUUGGAUGGGCCCGCGUUGGAUUAGCUAGUUGGUAGGGUAAAAGCCUACCAAGGCGACGAUCCAUAGCUGGUCGGAGAGGAUGAUCAGCCACACUGGGACUGAGACACGGCCCAGACUCCUACGGGAGGCAGCAGUGGGGAAUAUUGGACAAGGGGCGAAAGCCUGAUCCAGCAAUGCCGCGUGAGUGAUGAAGGCCUUAGGGUUGUAAAGCUCUUUUACCCGGGAUGAUAAUGACAGUACCGGGAGAAUAAGCUCCGGCUAACUCCGUG